GACGAAGGAUGCAAGCGUUAUCCGGAUUCAUUGGGUUUAAAGGGUGCGUAGGCGGCCCGGUAAGUCAGUGGUGAAAUCUCCUUGCUUAACAAGGAAACUGCCAUUGAUACUGCUGGGCUUGAGUACAGAUGCUGUGGGCGGAAUAUGACAUGUAGUGGUGAAAUACAUAGAGAUGUCAUAGAACACCGAUUGCGAAGGCAGCUCACAAAACUGUAACUGACGCUGAGGCACGAAAGUGCGGGGAGCGAACAGG
rnacentral:rRNA from 1 species